GGUAGUGUAGCUCAGUGAUAGAGCACUUGCCUAGCAAGCAUGAGGCCCUGGGUUGAAUCCUCAGCACUGCAG
rnacentral:tRNA from 1 species